GGGGAUAUAGCUCAGUGGUAGAGCACUUGCCUAACAUUCAAAAGGCUCUGGAUUUGGUCCCCAGUGCCACCA
rnacentral:tRNA from 1 species